GAUGAAGAACGUAGUGAAAUGCGAUAAGUAAUGUGAAUUGCAGAAUUCAGUGAAUCAUCGAAUCUUUGAACGCACCUUGCACCCUUUGGUAUUCCGAAGGGUAUGCUCGUUUGAGUGUCAUUGUACUCUCACACUUCUAAUUCCUUUCGGGAUUGGGAGCGGUGGACUUGGGUGUUGCUGCUAUAGUUGUGGCUCACCUCAAAUAAGUUAGUGCAACUCUUGGUUGGACAUAGUACGGCGUGAUAAGUGUCUUCGCCGGCGCCUCUGUAAGGAGGGUGGCCGAUCGGGAGCUCUGUGCUUCAAACCGUCUUCGGACAAUCUUUGACAACUUGACCUCAAAUCGAGUAGGACUACCCGCUGAACUUAAGCAUAUCAAUAAGCGGAGGA
rnacentral:misc_RNA from 1 species